rnacentral:rRNA from 1 species
ACUCCUACGGGAGGCAGCAGUGAGGAAUAUUGGUCAAUGGAGGGAACUCUGAACCAGCCAUCCCGCGUGUAGGAAGACGGCCUUAUGGGUUGUAAACUACUUUUAUACAGGAAGAAACGUACCCUCGUGAGGGUGCCUGACGGUACUGUAGGAAUAAGCACCGGCUAACUCCGUGCUAGCAGCCGCGGUAAUACGGAGGGUGCGAGCGUUAAUCGGAAUUACUGGCGUAAAGCGCAUGCAGGUGGUUUGUUAAGUCAGAUGUGAAAGCCCGGGGCUCAACCUCGGAACUGCAUUUGAAACUGGCAGACUAGAGUACUGUAGAGGGGGUAGAAUUUCAGGUGUAGCGGUGAAAUGCGUAGAGAUCUGAAGGAAUACCGGUGGCGAAGGCGGCCCCCUGGACAGAUACUGACACUCAGAUGCGAAAGCGUGGGGAGCAAACAGGAUUAGAUACCCUGGUAGACAUCAC